UUUCCAUUUUCACAGUUUAUUUUGUCGACGGGGUUAAUGUGAUUAAUAAUCUGUGAAAACUACUGCGCUAGCACGUGCCGUUUUGAUGAAG